GUUCUCCCAUAUGAGAUGUGUGUGUAGCCCUUUUUCUGCUGAAAUUUGCUAAUUAUCUUGAUUUCUUUGGCAAGGUCCAGGCCAAUUCAAUGUUUUUGACGUUCCAUACUUGUGGUGACUCGUUAUGAUAACCUAUAAUUAAGCGUUAGUUUGAAGUGGGCACCAAAAAUCUACAUAAUAAAAUAAAAUUAAAUAAGUGAAUGCUGAUGGACUGAGAAAAAUUAUUGAAUGCUAAAAAAAAUAAGUACAUUACAGAUGUCACAGUUUUACUAUCGAAGUACCCUUAUGUUGUUCAACACGGCAUAGUAAAUUUGUAAACAAAAUAAAGCAAACAAAACUGCACCUACGUGUUUAAUAAUCAUGAACUGGACUUGAAUCAACAAUAGUUGAUAUAAAUUCCCAACAACAAAAAAACAGAGGAAGGAGGAAUAAGAAUGAACUAGUAGUGGAAUAGAGUCGGUGGUGGACCCUGGUAGUGUGCAGGAUGCAGCUCGAGCACCCAGGACAAGGUGACUGGUCGGUGUUGUGCAGGACACAUCGUGGGCACGUCGGCGCCGAGGACGCCACAAGGAGCAGGCUGCGGCACGAAU
rnacentral:lncRNA from 1 species